rnacentral:rRNA from 1 species
AGUGAACGCUGGCGGUAGGCCUUACACAUGCAAGUCGAACGGCAGCACAGUAAGAGCUUGCUCUUACGGGUGGCGAGUGGCGGACGGGUGAGGAAUACAUCGGAAUCUACUUUUUCGUGGGGGAUAACGUAGGGAAACUUACGCUAAUACCGCAUACGACCUACGGGUGAAAGCAGGGGAUCUUCGGACCUUGCGCGAUUGAAUGAGCCGAUGUCGGAUUAGCUAGUUGGCGGGGUAAAGGCCCACCAAGGCGACGAUCCGUAGCUGGUCUGAGAGGAUGAUCAGCCACACUGGAACUGAGACACGGUCCAGACUCCUACGGGAGGCAGCAGUGGGGAAUAUUGGACAAUGGGCGCAAGCCUGAUCCAGCCAUACCGCGUGUGUGAGGAAGGCCUUCGGGUUGUAAAGCCCUUUUGUUGGGAAAGAAAAGCAGCAGGUUAAUACCCUGCUGUUCUGACGGUACCCAAAGAAUAAGCACCGGCUAACUUCGUG